rnacentral:lncRNA from 1 species
GUAUUAUAAAUUUUCUUUCAGCCACAGCAUGUACGAUAAACAGGAAUUUUGUGUUUUGUUUUCUAAUUUCAUUGCCGUUAUUCCACUGUUUCCACAAUGGAUCUGAGGUUAUGAAAUGGCUAAGAAUUAAUCAUGCAGUUCCUCUAGGCCAUUGUAAUGAUGCCUCUACUUUGAGUCACAUGAAAAGUCUUUGGACGGAAGAAAGCAGAAGAGCCACAUAACUUAUGUUUUAAAAUACUCACUGGAUGACUACGUGAAGAAUGCUUAUUGUAUGCAGUAUUUUCAAACUGGGUCCACCACAGGUAACUGAAACCACAGAAAGCAAAACUGCAGACAAGAGUGGACUACUGCAUUUAAAAGGUGUUUGACAGUUCCUCCUUCACACACCCUCUUUCCUGCCUCCAUGUGACGAAGGUCUUUGCUUCUGCUUUGCCUACCACCAUGACUUUCUAGAUAUUGAGAAGUCCAAGAUUAAGGCAAUGGCAUUGAUGAGAGCCUUCUUGCUGGGUCCUGAAGAGGGGAGGAAUACCAUGUCCUCACAUGGCAGAAAGCGGAAGAGCAAAAAGAAAGAGAAAGAGAGAAAAGAGAGAGAGAGCAAAAUCCCUCCAUCAAGCCCUUUAUAAUGGCAUUAGUCCAUUCAUGAGAGCAGAGCAUUCAUGUUCUAAACAUCUCCCACCAGACCUCACCUUCCAACACUGUUGCAUCGGGGAUGGAUUUUCAACAUGACUUUUGAAGGGGACAAAAGCAUUCAAACCACAGCAAUUAGAAAAUGCACGUGGUAUAUAUUAAGUGACAAAAACCUAAACGAAUUUAGUGUAAACUGUUCUAAUGUUUGUCUAUCUUCCUUUCUGAGAACAAACAAUCGAUUCCAAUGAUUUUGGAUAACCACAUCGUGAAGUGGCUCUUUUUUCAAGGCUUGAAACAACAAAACUGAGGGAGUGAAUUAAGGGCAAAAAUCUACUUUUAAUUUAAGAAUUUAUAUGAGUGACUGGAGCACAGAGGGCAUUUAUAAGGGUGCUUACUAGGGAAGGGGGCAUCGAGUCACCACUGCUUUGGUCAAAUUGUACUUCAGUCAACCAAAUCUUCAUGGGUUCAUGGAACAAAUCAAGUAAUUGGGGAUCCAGCAGAAGUAAAGCACAACAAUCUAAAAGAAUAAUGGACCCACUGCCCAUUACUGACUAUACAUUGUAAAUAACCAGUCCAUGGAUGUGUCCCUGCAUUGGAACCCAAGAUUAAGAUUUGGAUAUGGAUGAUGUAUGCUUAUAUAAGUCUUUUUACUUGUUUGUCUACACUGUCUUAAUAAAUCAGUCUUUUUUUUCUACAUGCCUUGUGGAAAGUAUACUUCAUUUCAUCAAAAUAAAUAAGUAGGCUAGGGAGAUUUUGGAUAAAUUAGUCCUUAAAAUUAUCAAUUUAACCCAGAAAACACUUUAUAACCUGAUGUGGUUUGGCUGUUUCCCCACCCAAAUCUCAUCUUGAAUUGUAGUUCCCAGAAUUCCCAUGUGUUGUGUGAGGGGCCCAGUGGAAGGUAACUGAAUCAGGAGGAUGGGUCUUUCCUGUGCUGUUCUUGUGGUAAUGGAUAAGUCUCAUGAGAUCUGAUAGUUUUAUAAUGGGGAGUUCCCCUGCACACACUCUCUUGCUUGAUGCCAUGUAAGACAUGACUUUUGCUCCUCCUGUCUUCCGCCAUGAUUGUGAAGCCUCCUCAGCCAUGUAGAACUGUGAGUUCAUUAAACCCC